AAAUUGAAGAGUUUGAUCAUGGCUCAGAUUGAACGCUGGCGGCAGGCCUAACACAUGCAAGUCGAACGGUAACAGGAAGAAGCUUGCUUCUUUGCUGACGAGUGGCGGACGGGUGAGUAAUGUCUGGGAAACUGCCUGAUGGAGGGGGAUAACUACUGGAAACGGUAGCUAAU
rnacentral:rRNA from 1 species